rnacentral:ncRNA from 2 species
UAUUUUGGUAGAGGAGCGGUCCUUAAGAGUAGCAAUGUGGAGCUAAGCACUAUGAAGCAUUGAGAAAGGAAGUACCGCCGAAGUAUAUAGCUGAUGCUUUAAGGCUAUGUAACUGGUUUUAUGCAUAAUAUGUAUAAAAUUGUCACAAAGAAAUUUGUGGAGGGCUAUCUUUUUA